GACAAACUCCGAAUGCCAAUUAAUUUAACUUGGGAGUCAGAACAUGGGUGAUAAGGUCCGUGUUCGAAAGGGAAACAGCCCAGACCACCAGCUAAGGUCCCAAAAUAUAUGUUAAGUGGAAAAGGAUGUGGCGUUGCCCAGACAACUAGGAUGUUGGCUUAGAAGCAGCCAUCAUUUAAAGAGUGCGUAAUAGCUCACUAGUCGAGUGACACUGCGCCGAAAAUGUACCGGGGCUAAACAUAUUACCGAAGCUGUGGAUUGUCCUUUGGACAAUGGUAGGAGAGCGUUCUAAGGGCGUUGAAGCAUGAUCGUAAGGACAUGUGGAGCGCUUAGAAGUGAGAAUGCCGGUGUGAGUAGCGAAAGACGGGUGAGAAUCCCGUCCACCGAUUGACUAAGGUUUCCAGAGGAAGGCUCGUCCGCUCUGGGUUAGUCGGGUCCUAAGCUGAGGCCGACAGGCGUAGGCGAUGGAUAACAGGUUGAUAUUCCUGUACCACCUAUAAUCGUUUUAAUCGAUGGGGGGACGCAGUAGGAUAGGCGAAGCGUGCGAUUGGAUUGCACGUCUAAGCAGUAAGGCUGAGUAUUAGGCAAAUCCGGUACUCG
rnacentral:rRNA from 1 species